CAGGCUUAACACAUGCAAGUCGAGGGGCAGCACAGGUAGCAAUACCGGGUGGCGACCGGCGCACGGGUGAGUAACGCGUAUGCAACUUGCCUAUCAGAGGGGGAUAACCCGGCGAAAGUCGGACUAAUACCGCAUGAAGCAGGGAUCCCGCAUGGGAAUAUUUGCUAAAGAUUCAUCGCUGAUAGAUAGGCAUGCGUUCCAUUAGGCAGUUGGCGGGGUAACGGCCCACCAAACCGACGAUGGAUAGGGGUUCUGAGAGGAAGGUCCCCCACAUUGGUACUGAGACACGGACCAAACUCCUACGGGAGGCAGCAGUGAGGAAUAUUGGUCAAUGGCCGAGAGGCUGAACCAGCCAAGUCGCGUGAGGGAUGAAGGUUCUAUGGAUCGUAAACCUCUUUUAUAAGGGAAUAAAGUGCGGGACGUGUCCCGUUUUGUAUGUACCUUAUGAAUAAGGAUCGGCUAACUCCGUGCCAGCAGCCGCGGUAAUACGGAGGAUCCGAGCGUUAUCCGGAUUUAUUGGGUUUAAAGGGUGCGUAGGCGGCCUUUUAAGUCAGCGGUGAAAGUCUGUGGCUCAACCAUAGAAUUGCCGUUGAAACUGGGGGGCUUGAGUAUGUUUGAGGCAGGCGGAAUGCGUGGUGUAGCGGUGAAAUGCAUAGAUAUCACGCAGAACCCCGAUUGCGAAGGCAGCCUGCCAAGCCAUUACUGACGCUGAUGCACGAAAGCGUGGGGAUCAAACAGGAUUAGAUACCCUGGUAGUCCACGCAGUAAACGAUGAUCACUAGCUGUUUGCGAUACACUGUAAGCGGCACAGCGAAAGCGUUAAGUGAUCCACCUGGGGAGUACGCCGGCAACGGUGAAACUCAAAGGAAUUGACGGGGGCCCGCACAAGCGGAGGAACAUGUGGUUUAAUUCGAUGAUACGCGAGGAACCUUACCCGGGUUUGAACGCAUUCGGACCGAGGUGGAAACACCUUUUCUAGCAAUAGCCGUUUGCGAGGUGCUGCAUGGUUGUCGUCAGCUCGUGCCGUGAGGUGUCGGCUUAAGUGCCAUAACGAGCGCAACCCUUGCCACUAGUUACUAACAGGUAAAGCUGAGGACUCUGGUGGGACUGCCAGCGUAAGCUGCGAGGAAGGCGGGGAUGACGUCAAAUCAGCACGGCCCUUACGUCCGGGGCGACACACGUGUUACAAUGGCGUGGACAAAGGGAGGCCACCUGGCGACAGGGAGCGAAUCCCCAAACCACGUCUCAGUUCGGAUCGGAGUCUGCAACCCGACUCCGUGAAGCUGGAUUCGCUAGUAAUCGCGCAUCAGCCAUGGCGCGGUGAAUACGUUCCCGGGCCUUGUACACACCGCCCGUCAAGCCAUGGGAGCCGGGGGUACCUGAAGUCCGUAACCGAAAGGAUCGGCCUAGGGUAAAACUGGUGACUGGGGCUAAGUCAUAACA
rnacentral:rRNA from 1 species